rnacentral:misc_RNA from 1 species
GAUGAAGAACGUAGCGAAAUGCGAUAAGUAAUGUGAAUUGCAGAAUUCAGUGAAUCAUCGAAUCUUUGAACGCACAUUGCGCCCGUCAGUAUUCUGGCGGGCAUGCCUGUUCGAGCGUCAUUACGCCCCUCAAGUCCCCUGUGGACUUGGUGUUGGGGAUCGGCGAGGCUGGUUUUCCAGCACAGCCGUCCCUUAAAUUAAUUGGCGGUCUCGCCGUGGCCCUCCUCUGCGCAGUAGUAAAACACUCGCACCAGGAGCCCGGCGCGGGCCACUGCCGUAAAACCCCCCAACUUUUUAUAGUUGACCUCGAAUCAGGUAGGACUACCCGCUGAACUUAAGCAUAUCAAUAAGCGGAGGA